rnacentral:rRNA from 1 species
GACGAACGCUGGCGGCGUGCCUAAUACAUGCAGUCGAACGAGUGGCGGACGGGUGAGUAACACGUGGGAACCUACCCAUCUGAGGGGGAUAAUACUUGGAACCAUGUCCUAUUACCCAACGCUGCUAGAUGGCCCGCGUGGGAUUAGCUAGUUGGUGAGGUAACGGCUCACCAAGGCGACGAUGCAUAGCGGGUCUGAGAGGGUGAUCGGCCACACUGGGACUGAGACACGGGCCAGACUCCUACGGGAGGCAGCAGUGGGGAAUAUUGCACAAUGGGCGCAAGCCUGAUGCAGCCAUGCCGCGUGUGUGAAGAAGGCCUUCGGGUUGUAAAGCACUUUCAGCGGGGAGGCGUUACUCGCAGAAGAAGCACCGGCUAACUCCGUGCCAGCAGCCGCGGUAAUAC